rnacentral:other from 1 species
AAUACCCUGCCGGGUUCGUGAUGCGCUUUUUUAAACCCACAUUUCGUUAUAUGGGAUUCCGGUCCUUACCGUGGUUUGCAGGCCUCCCGGCUCUUGCCGGAAGUUGGAAGCAGUAAAGCGGUAAGCAGGAGACCCACCUGCUAUCUGUGUGCAGGUUAUAACUGAGUGUACACGGCUUCGGCGGGGUAUUC